AACCUGUCAGGCUUUCCCAGACCUGUUGCUCCCCCUUGGCAGGGCGAGGCCGCGCGGCCCACUCAAGACUUUCUUUGAUCCUUUUGCAGUCCAGGCUCUGGGCGGGCAUUGCGACUGCAUCUUACAGGAAAAGGCGGGCCGGACGCCCGGAAGAGCCUUAGCUGUCCUGGAACUCUGCAGACAAGGCUAGCCUCGAACUCAGAGAUCUUUCUGCCUGUGCCUCCAGAGAGCUGGAACUAAAGACUACUCGAACCUGCUUUGUUUUCACUAGUCUCUCGGAUUUACCAUCUCACAACUGAACAUGGC
ensembl:lncRNA